rnacentral:rRNA from 1 species
AUCCAGAGAUUUCCGAAUGGGGAAACCCAGCAUGAGUUAUGUCAUGUUAUCGAUAUGUGAAUACAUAGCAUAUCAGAAGGCACACCCGGAGAACUGAAACAUCUUAGUACCCGGAGGAAGAGAAAGAAAAUUCGAUUCCCUUAGUAGCGGCGAGCGAAACGGGAAGAGCCCAAACCAAAAAGCUUGCUUGUUGGGGUUGUAGGACACUCUAUACGGAGUUACAAAGGACGACAUUAGACGAAUCAUCUGGAAAGAUGAAUCAAAGAAGGUAAUAAUCCUGUAGUCGAAAAUGUUGUCUCUCUUGAGUGGAUCCUGAGUACGACGGAGCACGUGAAAUUCCGUCGGAAUCUGGGAGGA